rnacentral:lncRNA from 1 species
GGUUGAAGAAAGUCGCAUGUGUUAAAGUACUUCACCAUAUGCUUGAUGUUAUCGCAUGGUGCGUGCGUUACUCUUGUCAUUUUUUUACACUAUAAACGGUUGUCAAUAGUAAAGUGAAAGUAAACGAGAACUAUUUGUUCAUGAAAUCACUGCUGCGUCAUGCAAUUAUUACCUACAGAGAGCAGAUUAUAGUAACGAUUAAGCAGAAGCUCAAGGGAGGGCAAAAUACUACGACAUCUUCAAGUGCACCAAUCAUAUUACAAGUUCCUCAAACCAUAAACACUUACUUUCCGGUUCUGCAUUCAAUAUGAGUCUCGUCUGUCUGGAUGGAAGCAGAGAGGAGAGGGAUGAAGUGUUGCGUUGUGGGCGAAUGAAGCAAUCGAAUGCAAAGGAAUUUCUUUCUGAACCUGGACCUUUUUAACAAUGUACACUUGGCGGUGCUUCCUCGCCAUUGUAUUUGUACUUGUUUGGUACUUCUCAGAGUUUGGACAAAUAUGGACACAAGCUUUCGUUUGUUUUUUAUGCUUUUUCAAUUUCCCUUUCAAAAAGCAAGACCGUGAAACAAGCACUCAGACGGAUGACACACUUGAAGAAACAGAACAACAGACAAAGAAAGCUCACCAUGUUGGUGUCAGUGAUGAGACUGAUGCAGCCGCACAAACUGAGUCUGAGACAAAGCAUUAUCCAAAUGUACAGAGGUCACUCCUCCAGGUGUUUAAAUGUGCCUAUGCUCACCUGGUCCAGCCGUGGUACACAGUCCCAGAACUUGGCGACGGUCAGCCCCUUCAUAGGGCACUACAGAAGGAGUUUAACCUGGUAGUCGAGAGAGUCAUUUGCAAGACAAAGAACUUUGAUCUGUCUGCUACCAGUGUGGGUUGUGUUAGGAUCUUCACUCAGCACCUGCAUAACGCAAAGCAGUCAGAUGGCUCUCCAGUGUUCGGUUCAAGGUCUGAGGAGAUGGCAGUCCUCAGGAUCUUUUCUGAAGCUCUAGUGCGAAACCUUUUUCCUGAGUACCUUUGGGAAGCAAAACUCUACCAGUGUGUCCUAACUGAGAUUGUUGCUACAAAAGCUCUUGAUGUGCUCGUGACAUGCCUCUGUAAUCCAGACAACCUGAAUCAGAUGGUGGUUUUGCAGCUGGAUAGAGUAACCUCUAAAAGCUCAACAGGAGACCUGCUAAACUCAGAUAGGGAAGGCACACCAUCUUCCGUGGGAAGUGAAGAAGCAGAAGUAUUGACAGAUGAAGCAGAGGAUGGUCGGUCUGAAGACACAAAAGAAAAGAAGAAGGGCAAUGGGAUCAAAGAACGAUUUUCUAAAUUUGUUGAUAAGGUCAAGUCAAAGAAAGCCAAAAAGAAAAACCAUAAGAAGAAGAAGGAGCAAGAGCUUUUACAGAGGGCUUUAUCAGCACGAAGAUCUGCUGUUAUUGAAGAUGAUUGUGCAAGCAGCAGAGAGGGCUCCUUUAGAAGCGGCAUGGACUAUGGCAUGGAUUAUGACAGUGAAAUGGAUGUUUACCUAACAACAAAUGUCCAAGAGGAUAUGAUGGAGUUUAGGCUUUCCUAUGAGAUGUGGCGGGUGGGGAAGUGGGCAGUCCGUGUUACAAAUGUUCAAAAGGAAAAUGAAGAGCUGUGUUUCACGCUUCACCUGGAGGAGAAAAAUAACCCUGAGAAUCUCAACUGGGAUGUAAAAAAGACCCAAUCAGAAAUACUUCAGUUUCACAGCCUCUGGCAGGAUACUUCCACUUUACCCUCUAUAUCUGCAAUAGUAGAGAAAACAAAGCAGGAUCUUGAUGGUGCAUAUGCAGAAGAAGUUGGAUCAGCCUUGGAGCACUUUUUACAAGAGCUGGUUUCUGAUGCACAGCUUGGUCACACUCAGCCUGUAUUCCAGUUCUUGUGUCCCAUUGUACAGCUGCUUAGUAAUAAGGAACAUAAGGGAGGUGUCUGGAGUUUUCUGAAUGGACUUGCAAGCUUUCUUAAUCCUGGCCAAGAUGAGGAUGAGUCCCAUAAUCCCAGAAGAGAAGAAAAGCUUGAUGGAGCAGGAGCCUCAGUUCAUAACAGUGGACAGUCGACAGCACAGCCAGCCUGCAUCGACACCGAUGAAGAGCCAAAGGGGGGCAUUGUAGAAGGACCAAACGAAGAAACUGACGCCUUCAAAAGUAGAGAACCAGAUAUGGAAGAUCAGACCUCUGAUGAGCAGGAUGUGGUUUCAGAUGGACAAGAGAGUCUUGCUGAAAGUUUAGAUAUCUUUGUUAAUAGGUCAAAAUUAGUCAGUCCUUCAGGACACUCCAGUGAUAUCUCAAGCUCAGUCAUGAACCAUACUGAAGGUUUACAGUCUGACUCAGUCGAUGGCUUUACAAGUGCUCAGUCUGGGGGCAAAACAAACAAAAAAGAAAAGUUAACUAAAAAAAAGUUAAAUGGACCUCAAAAGGUCAAAGUAAAAGAGAAAACGGGACAGCUCAAGGACGAGAUGGCAAAUCAGCCUCAGGCACAGAAAAAGGAACCCCAGAACAACUGGGACCAAGUUGAGGCCACCAAAGCCAUAUUUGAGUUAGUUAAGGAAAUAACGGGUAACUCAGUCCUCAUUAACAUUGUUGAUGCCAUUCUAAAAGCAGUCCAGCCUUUGGUAAAGAAGAAAAUAACCAACUUUUUAAAAAAGAUGCAUCCCACUGAAGCUCAGAUUGCGUCCUACAUUGACAAUUUCCGGGAGAAGAUAUGGCCAGAAGGAAACGCGCCCAUCCAGCCGCCACGUGACAGUGAGGAGAAACACGAGACCAAGGAGAAGGCUUUGCAGCUUAUAAAUUCAAAAUAUUCAAACUCUCUAAUUCUCAAGAAGACUGAUGUUGAAACUGUGUUCAAGAUCUUCCAGGACACUGAGGAGAACAAGAAACUGGUUUAUAUGCUGCUGUCAUACAUUCUUGGGGAGUUCCUACCUGGGGAGCCUGCCUUCAAUGCAAUAGCUAAUCUAACUGUGAAGGAUUUUGUUUCAUAACUGAUAGAUCUUUUUUUAUGUAAUUUGUCUAAUGUUGUAAAAUGUGCAUUAUUUAAUAUUUUAUGUGUAUAUUCUUCAAGGAUGCAUUGUGAUAUACCUCAGAGAGGUCAGCCUUUUACUUUCACUUUGAGCAAUGUGAACACUUAAGAUUUCUUGAUAAUUUUUUUUAAUUGAACAAAAAUGCCAGCCUCUGUUAAAUGUAGCAUUUUAACAAAUGCACUGUAAUUAUGUUUCACUUCAAUAAUGUCACCAAUAGUUGGGUGUAAAUUUUUUUUAACUCAUUUAAAAAAAUGAUCACUGUAUAUGUAAGUUCACUUUUUGUUUCGUACCUUAAAAAUGUACACUGUGAAGAACUGAUUUUCUAUUUUAAUAAACAGCACAGGUUACUCAGGACAAAACAGAUAAAGUCAUUGUGAUACUUUGAUGAUAAUUUUACAAGACUUAAUCAGUACACGGUCUGUGAGGAAUGUAUUCGAAUAAUAAUAAUGCCAAUAAAUAUAUUUUACUACUAACCGCGAGUGAUUUAAUUUCUUGCCCAUUAGUAAACCGUAAAAUAAGUA